ACUUAGAGUCACAUUCUAAAAAUAAUUGUCUUCAUUGAAUAUCGAACUAAUAAAUUUAUCAUUCGAUUUAGUUCAGCCAGCUGGUAAGGCGGUCCCAUCAUCAAUCUUGGGCCAUAAAAUUGGAUUCGAUUGCCGGACCACCUAGAAGUGGGAUAUCUGUGAUCUGGUUCCGAUAUCGAUUAAUGGUCAGUAGCUUAAAUGGUUUCAAACCCUCAGAAGCUCCGAACCGUCUCACAACUAAAUAAAUUUUGUGAUUGUGCUUUGUGACCGCGCUGUGCUCAAGUUAAUCCACCUGGACUUAAGGACGAGUUUUGAAGAAAUGAAGUGUAUUGUGAUCGCUUUGGCGUUGUUGAGCAUUGUGUCCAGACUAGGGGCGGCUCCAGGAGGCCGGAGGCCUCCAAUGAAUUGCAUGUUUGGCCAAAUGGAGGAUUGCCAGCUGGAUUCCGGUCCUGUGUGUGGAAUUGACGAUUCCGGAAUUCUGGAAACGUUCGAAAAUAAAUGCAUGGCCUAUGUUAUGGCGUGCCAAAAGGACACUUAUUUUGUCGAAGUUAAGCCUGGAGAAUGCUAGCGCUCAACAGCCACACCUGGACGCCCAAUCAAACCUCUUGACAGUAUUUACUAAAAGCUUUACUUAAACGUUUUUGACAUGCGGUAUUGAAAAAGUACAUAGUUUUGUUUAAUAUUUAUACGAAAAUAGGAUGUAUACAUUAUAGUUUAGGGAUUGGUAAAUAAAGAUGAUUUAAGGACAAAA